UGCUGGGGGCAGUAUUUGCGGUCUGGGGGGGGUGUAUUUGCGGUGCUGGGGGAGUAUUUGUGGUGCUGGGUUGUUCCAUUUGCAGUGCUGGGCGGGGGGGUAUUUGUGGUGCUGGGUUGUUCCAUGUGCGGUGUGGGGGUGUCCCAUUGGCGGCGCUGGGUUGUUCCAUGUGCAGUGUAGGGGUGGCCACCAUGGAGCUUUGGCUUGUCUGCUCCGUCCCUUCCCGGCACUCCUCAGCCUUUGCACAGAGCGAGUCGCUGAAGUGUCAACCUCUUUGCUGGUGAAGAUGUUAGUUGAGAUGGAGCUCUGGAGGAUUCAUGCCCCAUCAAUACCUGCUCUGCUCCAGUUAGCCAUAGGGCCCAACAUCAUCACAGGACCUUCAUCACAGGAGAACUGAGAUUGGAAGGGACGCCAGGAGGUCUCAAGACCAACCUGCCAGAAACAGGGUCAGACCAAGUGGUUCAAGGCUUGAUUCAGUCUGACUUGGAAAACCCCAAGGCCAGAGACUGCACAGCCUCUCUGGGGGACCUGAUGCAGCACUUGCCUCAGAGUAUGGGAGCAAGGUUUCCUUAUGUCCUGGCUGAACCUCUCCUCUGUCCCUAUCCCCCAUUGCCUUUUGUCCUCCCACCAGGCACCAUGAUGAGGAGCCUGGCUCUGUAUUCUCCAUGUCCUCCCUGCCGGUACAGGCAGCCAGUCCCUGACAGCCUUCCCUUCCCAAGAUCUCCGGUCCCCAUCAGCCUUCCCUUCUCCAGGCUGGACAAGCCCAGCUCCCCCAGCCUCUCCCCACAGGCAAUGUGCUCCUGUCCCUGGCUCUCCUGAGGGCCCGUUGCUAAACCCACUCCUGCUUGCCAAUAUUGUUCCUGAACUGGGGAUCUGAAACCUGGAUGGAGUAUUCCAGGGCAUCCCUUCCCUUGUUCUCAUGCCGUGCUCCUGGUCGUACAGCUCAAGGUGCUGCUGUCCUCCCUUGCUGCCAGGGCAUGCGCUGCCUCCUGUCCAGCUCCUGCCCACCCAGACUUUUGCCAUGGGCUGCUCCCAGCCAGGCAGCCCCAGCCUGUGCCGUUGCAGAUGGCUGGAACCACAGGAGGUGUAGCAUGGAGACAAGAAGGAUGAGGAGGGUAGAUGCCCCCUGCAUGAAGGCGAAGCUUGGAUUUCUUGAGGUCCCCUAUGUGACAGGCCUCCUGGUGUUCCUGCCUGACUUCCUCUUGGUCGGGAUGCAUCGCUCCUGAGCUUGGAGGAGGUGAUCCUUGAAUAUUGUCCAACUUUCUUGGGCCCGUCUUCCCUCCAGGGCUUUAUCCCAUGGCACUCCACCAAGCAGAUCCCUCAGAAGCCAAAGUCUGCUCUCCUCAAGUCCAGGCAGACAGUGGCCACGGGUGGGCUGAGGGGGCAGGACGAUGUCCUUGGGCAGCUGACUGAGGAGGCACAUCCGCCCGUUGCAUGUCUCCCCCGUCUCUUCACCCUGGGAACCGCGCAUCCUCAGGGCCAGUGGCCAUCUUUUGGGAGCCACCUGGUGCUGUAGCUGGGUGCUGCUGCUCUCCCUGUCCCCUGAGGCAGCUCCAGGAGAAAGCCCAGUGCAGAGCCCAGCAGCACCUCGUGACAAUGGAACGCCACUGCUGCUCCUGUGUCUGGAUCUGCACAACCACGCUUCCAAACAUCCUCGGGCCCUCCAGCGGUACUGGGCUUGUUCUUGCUGGUGAGGCCAGAAUGGUAUGUGCAAGGUGCCCCUGUGCCACCAGCUGCUGCCCAGCUUCCCAGCUUGCAGCUACAGCGUGACUCAGGAGCCCUGACGCCCACGCCUGGACUGAGGACCCUAGAGCAACACUGUGGGUUGUGGGGCUGUGUGGGGCAGGCUCCCAUCUCUCAGUCCUCACCGCCAUUCUCCAGUCAUGGAGGAUGCCCCAAGCAGGUAGCACGAGCUUUCCGUGGCCGGUGCCCAGGAGGUGCAUGGCGUGGGCUCUGCCUCCCAGAGAAGACCUGGAGGCUGCUGCUGGCGGAGCAGGCAUCUUGGUGACAUUUGCCAAUCAAGCGGCCAACUAAUUCCUUUGUGAAAGGGACAAGAAAGCAACAGUCAGUAACAGAAGCACAGAGCAAACAGCUGUGCUCUGCAGCUUAGUUCACCCACAUUCCCACUUCAUGUAGCAUAGGCCAGGCAGGAUUGAUGGAAGGCAGUGCCAGUGUGGUACAGAGUUCUGCUGCUCUGUGACAAGCCAAGGUAGGUACAGAUCAGGAAGCACAGCUCAUUUGGAUAGAUCCAGCCUCCUAUCUUUUAGAAUGACACAAAGACAUGAUGGGACAAAGCCAGGCCUGGUAAAGGCUACCCUCUUCCUACAGUCAAGAGAAGUCACAUCCUCUCCCCAUGUCCCACCACUUUUUUGUAUUCUUUUUUAAAGCAUGCUACCUGUAGUUUUCAUUCAACUAUGAAAUACUAAGUUUUAGCAAUUUGUAGCUAAUUAGAUUAGAAAGGGAGUAGACAAGUGCACAGGAGAGUAAACCAGGCUACCACGCCUGUUGGAGUGCAGAGUUUCUGGACAGCCGUGCAGGGUGAUGAAGAGACAUCUGUGCAAGCCCUGUCACUUCGACUCUUCCACUGGCUCUUGCCACCACUUACUGCCAGAGGCCAGAUCCCAGAGCAGAAGUGUUGGGCCCAAGUCAGCACGGAUAAUCCUACACAACCUAAAGUGAGCUGCCUUGAGAAAAGUGACUGCCUGUUUUCACUGAUCACUCAAACGUAUUUUGCUGCUGUAGAACU
rnacentral:lncRNA from 1 species